UUCUAGAUUUUCUAGUUUAUGCACAUAGAGGUGUUUAUAGGAUUCUCUGAUGGUUGUAUUUCCGUGGGGUCAGUGAUGAUAUCUUUCUUAUCAUUUCUGAUUAUAUUUAUUGAAUCUUCUCUCAUUUCUUCAUUAGUCUAGCUAGUGGUCUAUUUUAUUAAUUUAAAAAAAGCAGCUCCUGGAUUCAUUGAUUUUUUUGAAGGAUUUUUUUGUGUGUUUCUAUCUCCUUCAGUUCAGCUUGGAUCUUGGUUAUUUCUUGUCUUUUGCUAGCUUUGGGGUUUGUUUGCACUUGGUUCUCUAGUUCUUUUUGUUGUGAUGUUAGGUUGUUAGCUUGAGAUCUUUCUAGCUUUUUGAUGUGGGCAUUUUGUGCUAUAAAUUUCAAUAAACUAAUCAACAGACAGCAGCAAGACCCCCAAAGGGGGUCAAGAGUCCAAUCUGCCAGGAGUGGGCAGGGAGUUCAGAGUUCCUGUGAUGUGUCCACCCUAACCUUGUUUGGGGCAGAAAUCACAAGUUUAGGAAUGAAACUAGUUUUUGGGUCAGACAUAUGAGGCUGAUCAGAAGCGUGAUUGCAGAUGGUCCCAUAAGAGAACAAGCCCUUUCUUG
rnacentral:lncRNA from 1 species